AACAGCUCAUAGACACGCUGCACCCAGAGCCUUGUCCCUUGGCCCCUCCAGCGCUCUACAGAGCUCGCUUGGCAUGAAACACACUUUUGGGAAACACCACCUGCACUCUCCCCAAAGUAAAACAAGUUCACGCUUCAGCCACCUUCACUCUAGCUAUCAAUUUCAAAUAAGGUUGUUGUUUUGUCUUCUUAAAGUCUGUCGGUUCAAAGAAGCCGGGGCGACAGAAAGCAGGGACUGCCGGCUGUGGUUCCAGGACACCGAGCCCAGCAUUUUUCUAUCUGAAGAAGUGUCACAAGUUCAGAAUUAAGUGAAACGUUACUCAUCAAUCUUAAAAAUAAUUCUAUUCAACACAACACUUCAGGAGGAAACAAAUCCGAGCACCACUAAUUCUACAGUUUCAACAGGGCUACCGUGUACAGACAACCAAUGCGAGCUGCCUCCACGGGAUCAGCACCAUCAGAACCUCUCACAACUCCGUACUUUCUCGAGGAGAAUGUUCUCAAAGUAGAAGUCGUGCACGCCCGACCUCGUGUCCCAGGCGCAGCCCUCACAGGCCGCACAGCGCUGUCAGAAAACCUAAAAUGACAUGGGGUUCGUCGAUCAGUGGUGACCUAGGACGCAGACUCCAUGCUGUCCCCAAGGCUCGCUGCCAACGUGCGGGGCGAACAUGCGGGGCGAAAGCACACCUACCUGCCGGCUGCUACGGGGGAGCCGAGCCAGCCGCACGCCCGACAUGUCGAACAGCCUCACUUGCCGGUUGUCGUGUGGGAGGGCGAUUAUCUUCUGGCCGACGCAUACAUUGAUCCUGCGAAGGAGAGACGAAAUGGGUUAUGGAUGAAGUCGGGACGGCACAAGUCUCCGAGUUUACAGACUAUCACGCGGUGGGAGACUUCGCACCAUUCACGCUUCAAGGCAGGUGCUAUCUGUCUCAGCGUCAGCACACAGAGACCGAGUCACUUACCUGUAAUCACAGUGACUCAAAUGUAGCCCCACAGCGUUUGCCCAAAGGUGGCUCAUUCUUCUCCUUUGAAGUUCACUGCCCCAGCCCGAUUUUAUACUCACAUUUCAGCACACAGGGGAUACUAAAUCUGCAUAAGGAUCAAUAAAAAAUAAUCCCCCCUGCAAAAAAUACUUCCCCAGAAGUCUAAUGCACUUUUCCAAAUGCUCUCUUAAACACCACAUGUACAUGAAUAAAACACUGCAUGACAAGCCA